rnacentral:rRNA from 1 species
UGCUUAACACAUGCAAGUCGAACGGAAAGGCCCUGCUUUUGUGGGGUGCUCGAGUGGCGAACGGGUGAGUAACACGUGAGUAACCUGCCCUUGACUUUGGGAUAACUUCAGGAAACUGGGGCUAAUACCGGAUAGGAGCUCCUGCUGCAUGGUGGGGGUUGGAAAGUUUCGGCGGUUGGGGAUGGACUCGCGGCUUAUCAGCUUGUUGGUGGGGUAGUGGCUUACCAAGGCUUUGACGGGUAGCCGGCCUGAGAGGGUGACCGGCCACAUUGGGACUGAGAUACGGCCCAGACUCCUACGGGAGGCAGCAGUGGGGAAUAUUGCACAAUGGGCGGAAGCCUGAUGCAGCAACGCCGCGUGCGGGAUGACGGCCUUCGGGUUGUAAACCGCUUUCGCCUGUGACGAAGCGUGAGUGACGGUAAUGGGUAAAGAAGCACCGGCUAACUACGUGCCAGCAGCCGCGGUGAUACGUAGGGUGCGAGCGUUGUCCGGAUUUAUUGGGCGUAAAGGGCUCGUAGGUGGUUGAUCGCGUCGGAAGUGUAAUCUUGGGGCUUAACCCUGAGCGUGCUUUCGAUACGGGUUGACUUGAGGAAGGUAGGGGAGAAUGGAAUUCCUGGUGGAGCGGUGGAAUGCGCAGAUAUCAGGAGGAACACCAGUGGCGAAGGCGGUUCUCUGGGCCUUUCCUGACGCUGAGGAGCGAAAGCGUGGGGAGCGAACAGGCUUAGAUACCCUGGUAGUCCACGCUGUAAACGGUGGGUACUAGGUGUGGGGUCCAUUCCACGGGUUCCGUGCCGUAGCUAACGCUUUAAGUACCCCGCCUGGGGAGUACGGCCGCAAGGCUAAAACUCAAAGGAAUUGACGGGGCCCCGCACAAGCGGCGGAGCAUGCGGAUUAAUUCGAUGCAACGCGUAGAACCUUACCUGGGUUUGACAUGGAUCGGGAGUGCUCAGAGAUGGGUGUGCCUCUUUUGGGGUCGGUUCACAGGUGGUGCAUGGCUGUCGUCAGCUCGUGUCGUGAGAUGUUGGGUUAAGUCCCGCAACGAGCGCAACCCUUGUUCACUGUUGCCAGCACGUUAUGGUGGGGACUCAGUGGAGACCGCCGGGGUCAACUCGGAGGAAGGUGGGGAUGACGUCAAGUCAUCAUGCCCCUUAUGUCCAGGGCUUCACGCAUGCUACAAUGGCUGGUACAGAGAGUGGCGAGCCUGUGAGAGUGAGCGAAUCUCGGAAAGCCGGUCUCAGUUCGGAUUGGGGUCUGCAACUCGACCUCAUGAAGUCGGAGUCGCUAGUAAUCGCAGAUCAGCAACGCUGCGGUGAAUACGUUCCCGGGGCUUGUACACACCGCCCGUCAAGUCAUGAAAGUUGGUAACACCCGAAGCCGGUGGCCUAACCGUUGUGGGGGAGCCGUCGAAGGUGGGACUGGUGAUUAGGACUAAAU